CUAAACACACCAGAAUUUAUUGCCUGAAUAUAUUUUUUUUCCUUUUAGGCAACAAGUGGCACACAGAAGAUUUGUGGGGCUGAAAUUUUCGUAACAGCUUCACUGCCCUCCUCAAGGAAGAAGAGGCCCCUAGAAGGGCUGAAGAAUAAAGUCUCCCACCCAGUUGUUGUGAUGUUUCAUUUUGAAGCGGAGGUGGUUUUAAUUUCUCUGUGGACUCUGAAGACUACCACACAUGUGAAUGAGUGAAACCUUACAAAGAAAGGAAGACAAUCGUUAUUUGGAGUCUUUGCCAUGCACUGCUACAAGUUCAAAAUGGAUUUCCUCAACAACAGAAAGUUUCCAAUCCACACUGCAGUGCCACUGUGUUGGGGGGGAAAAAAGAAAAAAAAAAAAAAAACACAGGGCAAAAACCACAGGGCAUUGUAAAUGUGUUCAGAGGAAAAAGAAAAUAAAGAUUUGUAAGAACUUUCAAUGUUUUCUCACCUAUCAUAAGGAAACAAAAGUGGGCAAAGUCAACUUCUUUCCCUCCCUUUUGUUGUCACUGAACAUAAAUAGAAGAAGUAUUCCUAACCAACAGGAAUCACUGCUUUCUCUUACCACACCCACAACCUGUUUGUUACAACUCCUGUUUUCUAGAAAGGAUUCAAUUAACCAACAUUUGCAUGGAUUAGUCACCUGCAAUGAAUGCAAACAAAGACAAAAAUCCACAGGCCUCGAAUAUUCAAUGAAUCAGUGGUGAGCUCAUCUCCAGUCUCCUGGCCAUGCAUCAUCUCCUCAGCACCUCUGAGGUGGAGGGCGUUCAGAAAUGCAGGCAGCAGUGCUGGCAGGACCCUGCCACUGAGCACACCGAACAAUUUGAGUGUUCUUGUAAUAACCAGGUAAAUAAAAGCAGCUGAAUGUAAAGAAGCAAUACUACCAUAAAGCAACAGAUGAAGAAUUACCAAAGCUUUGUCCCACAGCGUGUUUAUUUUCAGGUAACAAGGAAAAAGCUUAUCUCAGCGGGGUACCUUUACGUUUGUCAGCGACACCCUGCAAGACUCUUGUGCCCUGCUCUGUGACAACGGUUAAUUGUGUAUCAUUUUGACAGAACGGAUCACUGAGAUCCAGCUGGUAAGGCAUUAGACUGAUAACUACUCCUGAUCUUUGCUUUCAACUAAUCAAAGAAUUGUUAUCUAUGGCUUCUGUGUUCCACCUGGAACCAUGAUAA